ACAUGUUCGUCGAACGGUCUCUUCGGAGAUGUGGGGACGGGUGAGUAACGCGUGAGAAUCUGCCUUUAGGAUGGGGACAACAGUGGGAAACUGCUGCUAAUACCCAAUAAGCCGCAAGGUGAAACGAACUUCGCCAGAGAGGAGCUCGCGUCUGAUUAGCUAGUUGGUGAGGUAAAAGCUCACCAAGGCCUCGAUCAGUAGCUGGUCUGAGAGGAUGAUCAGCCACACUGGGACUGAACACGGCCCAACUCCUACGGGAGGCAGCAGUGGGGAAUUUUCCGCAAUGGGGCAAGCCUGACGGAGCCAUACCGCGUGAGGGAAGAAGGUCCUUGGAUUGUAAACCUCUUUUCUGAAGGAAGAAGCUCUUACGGUACUUCAGGAACAAGCCUCGGCUAAUCCUUGCCAGCAGCCGCGGUAAUACGAAGAAGCAAGCGUUAUCCGAAUUAUUGGGCGUAAAGCGUCCGCAGGCGGCUAGUCAAGUCUGCUGUCAAAACGGGGCUUAACCCCCGAAAGGCGGUGGAAACUGACCAACUUGAGGCCGGUAGGGGUAGAAGGAAUUCCCCGUGUAGCGGUGAAAUGCGUAGAUUUUGGGAAGAAACCGUGGCGAAAGCCUCUUUGGACCGGCCUACUUAGGACGAAAGCUGGGGAGCGAAAGGGAU
rnacentral:rRNA from 1 species